rnacentral:rRNA from 1 species
GAUGAACGCUGGCGGCGUGCCUAAUACAUGCAAGUCGAGCGAACGGACGAGAAGCUUGCUUUUCUGAUGUUAGCGGCGGACGGGUGAGUAACACGUGGAUAACCUACCUAUAAGAGUGGGAUAACUUCGGGAAACCGGAGCUAAUACCGGAUAAUAUUUUGAACCGCAUGGUUCAAAAGUGAAAGACGGUCUUGCUGUCACUUAUAGAUGGAUCCGCGCUGCAUUAGCUAGUUGGUAAGGUAACGGCUUACCAAGGCAACGAUGCAUAGCCGAACUGAGAGGGUGAUAGGCCACACUGGAACUGAGCCACCGUCCAGACUCCUACGGGAGGCAGCAGUAGGGAAUCUUCCGCAGUGGGCGAAAGCCUGACGCAGCAACCCCGCGUGAGUGAUGAAGGUCUUGGGAUCGUAAAACCGUGUUAUGAGGGAAGAACAUAUGUGUCCGUAGCUGUGCACAUCUUGACGGUAACUAGUCAGAAAGCACCGGCUAACUACGUG